rnacentral:rRNA from 1 species
GAGAGGGUGACCGGCCACACUGGGACUGAGACACGGCCCAGACUCCUACGGGAGGCAGCAGUGGGGAAUAUUGCACAAUGGGCGGAAGCCUGAUGCAGCAACGCCGCGUGAGGGAUGACGGCCUUCGGGUUGUAAACCUCUUUUAGCAGGGAAGAAGCGAAAGUGACGGUACCUGCAGAAAAAGCGCCGGCUAACUACGUGCCAGCAGCCGCGGUAAUACGUAGGGCGCAAGCGUUAUCCGGAAUUAUUGGGCGUAAAGAGCUCGUAGGCGGUUUGUCGCGUCUGCUGUGAAAUCCGGAGGCUCAACCUCCAGCCUGCAGUGGGUACGGGCAGACUAGAGUGCGGUAGGGGAGAUUGGAAUUCCUGGUGUAGCGGUGGAAUGCGCAGAUAUCAGGAGGAACACCGAUGGCGAAGGCAGAUCUCUGGGCCGUAACUGACGCUGAGGAGCGAAAGGGUGGGGAGCAAACAGGCUUAGAUACCCUGGUAGUCCACCCCGUAAACGUUGGGAACUAGUUGUGGGGUCCAUUCCACGGAUUCCGUGACGCAGCUAACGCAUUAAGUUCCCCGCCUGGGGAGUACGGCCGCAAGGCUAAAACUCAAAGGAAUUGACGGGGACCCGCACAAGCGGCGGAGCAUGCGGAUUAAUUCGAUGCAACGCGAAGAACCUUACCAAGGCUUGACAUACACGAG